UACGAAGGGGGCUAGCGUUGCUCGGAAUCACUGGGCGUAAAGCGCACGUAGGCGGAUUGCUAAGUCAGGGGUGAAAUCCUGGAGCUCAACUCCAGAACUGCCUUUGAUACUGGCGAUCUUGAGUCCGGGAGAGGUGAGUGGAACUGCGAGUGUAGAGGUGAAAUUCGUAGAUAUUCGGAAGAACACCAGUGGCGAAGGCGACUCACUGGCCCGAUACUGACGCUGAGGCGCGAAAGCGUGGGGAGCGAACAGG
rnacentral:rRNA from 1 species